AUUACCUUUGUGUCCUCAAAAAUUUUGAAUCCCCCUCUCCAUAUCAUUUUCAUUUUCAUUUUCAUAUUUUGAGGAUUCGUUUCUCUCUGUACUUCUCACUCCAUCUCUCCACAUACCACCAUCGGGAGACGACCGGCGACCUACCACCAUCCCGUAUCUGCUUGGUAAUAGCACCAGGAAGACCCUGCCGACACUACAAGCUCCGUCGAGGUAGAUCCUGCGAACAAGUAUGCGGGCUUUAAGUGUGUCUUGUAUGUGUUUUUUGAUGAUUAUUUUAACGGUAAAGAAUACGGAAGAGGAUCUGCAGGAUGCAGAGAGGAAAGUGUGUUGGAGUUCAAUGAAAUUCAUCAAGACAGGAAAAGUUUGGAGCGCCGAGAGGAAGAAAUAGCAGCAACUACACUGAAGCAGGAAAAGCUUCAAGGAUGGAGGGGUAGAGAUGGAAAGUUGCUCAAAGAAGGAGGACAAAUGGUCAACCCAUACGCGUUUCUCAUUCACAUAGAAGCUCAAUUAAGAGUGACCAAACAACGACAAUCAUUUGGCAAUUGGUGGGACCAUCCACAUUUAAUUCCAGUCGGUUUUAAAACAUGCAAAACUAAUUACGGUCAACAAAACGAGCCCUAAAUUUAAGUUAAGCUGCAAAUUUAGUAGGGAAAUAAUAAAAGUAGCAAUCAAUUCAUGUA